AGAGAGAGAGAGUGAGGUCUGAGGAAGAGAGAGAGAGUAUGAAGGACAGUAUACGGGAAAUGGGGAGGGAAAUAAGGAAUGGGGAUCCCACGUGGUCCUUUUCCAAUCCCCAACUCUAAACCACAAAAUUUUAACCUAAAAAUCUAAGUUCCAUCCUUAUUAAAUUCCAUUUUAUUUUCAAAACUUAGGAACCUAGAUAAUUAUCAACUUGAGCUUCACAUACUUAGUAUUUCUUAAGGGCAAUUUCGUCCAUUCACAGCCACGAAUGUAAUAUUUUGGAACGGGCUGUGACAAUCUCCCCUCCUUAUAGAAUUUCGUCCCCGAAAUUCCAGCAACCAACUAAAUCAACCAUACUCCAACAAUAGCUUCGGGUAAAUCUCUCUCAUCCGAUUCUCUUUCUCCCACAUAAUUUUCUACUGAAUGAUUUCCUUCACAAAGCUUUUACCACUUACUCUGUCUUAAUUCUCAGGACCUUCUUUUUUCCAAUCCAAAGUCGUCCUUGGUUCCUUAUCAAGUCGAAUCCAAUUUAAUUCUCAAUAGUUGCACUAGAAUCUCAUGUGACGACUCUGCCACCUAGCGACAACGCAUCGAACACAAAAUACAUUAAGUACCGUUGCCCUGUCUGGGAAAAAGUUAUUACUCAGCACUGGAGUAAUUGUACUAACUUGGUACAUUGACCAACUAUCACUUCAAAUUCGAUCAUAACCAUCUUGUGUACAAGGAAGCUUGUACACAUAAUCCAAAGUAAUAUCUUUCCAUUUCCACUGCGAAACAGAAAAUAAUUAUCUCAAUCCAAAGGUUUAUCUCUUUCUGCCUCAAUCUGCUGACCAAAUAAAACUGUCAAAUGGUAUGAUAAAUCUUAUUACUUUUGGAAUAUUUCAGAAGUUGAACAGUGAACUUCGUCCAAUAUUUGCUUGCUUCAAAUCCUCAGCAUUCGGUACAUACUUCUUACUUUCUUGUAUCCACAUACCAUUUGAUUCACGAAUCAUUCUUUUUCUUUUCUUUCCUUGCCUUGGUUAAUUCUUAAAUUCCUCGUCAAACAUUUAAGUUUCGAGUACGACCUUACCAAACAGGCCUAACUUGAAAAUUAACAAGUAUAACUUCUUCUCGAUCUUUCAUUCUUAACUUUACUUUAAUUGAUUUUCAAUCCACGAGAAGAUAAUCUUGGCAAGCGUGCCUGACAUUAAUCUUACUGUAGUCUUCUCACCAAGUGCUUCAGCUAGAACAAUUCUACGAUCACCCUGAUCGUACAAUCAUGUUCAUUAAGCAAUACAAUUCACUUUCGCUGCCUCAUAUCAAAAUCCUUCCAAGUAAUGGAUAUUGAAGACUUUUGGAUUCGUAAAAUCUUGCAUUCUUAUCAACAUUUAAGGUCUCCAUAACUUCACAACAAGGAUGGUAAUCGCCAAUCUUAAAUCACAAGUAGGGUACUUCAUCUCAUGAGAUUCCAUUUGUCAUGAAACAUAUGCCAUCACCCUAACAUUUGUAUCAACAUGCCUCCAAUACCAUUCAAGAAACAUCACUAAAAAUUUAUGAUUACCACUAUCUUCUAGGAUUACUAAAAUACGUGUAUGAGUGAGGAAAUACUUUAGUUGUUGAAUCCCUUACUCACAAUUUCCUUCCCACUUAUACAUAACUCUUUUUCUCAACAGUCUCGUCAAUGACAAAGCAAUGACUGAAAAAUCUUUCACAACCAUCCAAGAUAGCCUGGUAAGUUAAGAAAUUCCAAAUCUCAAUUACGACUCGUGGUUGUUCCAAAUUCUCAAUUUCUGCUAUCUUUUAAGGAUUCACUUGAAUACCUUAAGAAUAUAUAACAAUUCUCAAAAUGCCACUUGAUUCAUUUAACUUUAGCCUUUGCUAAACUUAGCAUACAACCAACGUUCUCUCAAUCUUUGCUUCAUCGACUUAAUACAUUUACAUGCUCUGCUCUGGCUUAGAGUAUACCAGAAUAUCGUCAAUGACAAAUGAUAUCAAUCUAUCAAGGCAUUAUUGGAAUACUUCAUCCAUCAACUCAUAAAACAGCAUGAGUAUCCAUAUAGCAUCACCAAACUUCAUAAAGACUAUAACAAGUCCAGAAAACCAUCUUAUGAUCAACGUCACUUAAAAUAUUCAAUUGGUAGUAACCAGAUCUCAAUUCAAUCUUUGAAUCUUCGCAAUUUACUUCUGAGCUGGUUAAAUAAACAUCAGUACAUCACCAUGGAUAACGGUUCUCAAUCGUUACCCGACUCCAUUGUCUAUAAUCAAUGGAUAGCCUUAAAAAUCCAUUUUCUUCCUCACCAACGAACUGGGGUUCCCCCAAAGCGUUGUACUAGGUUGAAUAAAACUUUUAUCAACCAAUUCUUUCAACUGAAUUUCCAAUUCCCUUAACUCAUCCUGAACCAAUCUCCAAUAUAAAUUUAUAUCUAGCAACAAUUCAAUAGCGAACCUCAUAUCUCUGCCUGAAGGCAAUCCAGGUAUACUUUCAAGGAAGACAUCAAGAAAAGUCUAACCCCUUUUUCAUUUUUUCACACUUCUCCGAGCAACAUCCUUUAGUACCACAUGAACUAAGUAUUUUUGGGCAGCCUUUCAAAACAAUCUCUUUGCUUUCACAGCAUAAAUAAUGGCUGAACUCACUUCACUUUGCAUGCCCACUCAUUAAGGUAACCUCUGAUCAUCCAGAUCGAUGGAAAGUGACUGGUUUCCCAUAACAUUCCAUCUAGUCACAACUAUAAACAAUCAAUCUAAUGGAAUAAAAUUAACUGACCCAAUACAUACUUAUUAUUACUGAACAUUCUAAAUAAGUACAACACUAACAUAAAAUAACCUACCGGUUUGCUUGCUUAACGAAUCCACAAAUGAGUUAUUAAUAUUACGGUCUGCAGCCCGCAAUACUGAUAAAUCAUCGUUGUCUCGAUAAGUAGGCAACCACUCUCAAAGAUAUAACAUACAUAAUAAGAAAUAUAUCAGCCGAAGUCAACUAGAAUGAUCAAUACGGCAGAUUCAACUCUUAUCUCAAUAAUACGUCGGCCGGAUCCACUCCGCGUGGUCGGUACGGCCGAACCUAUAACUCACCAAUUUCUCAUGUGUCAGUCGAAUCCAUUUCUCAUGGUCUGUACGGCUGAACAUAUAACUCAUCAAAUCUCUCUGUACUCACGGUCAAUCCGACCAACUACUAAGUUCAUAAACUUGCUUAAUCGACACUACGAUGUCAUAGAAAACUGUUGGGUACAACUGAUUCUAGGGACGAUUCACAAUUCUGUGUCCCCUCUGUUCACAUAAACACAUUCAUUAAUUUCACACUUCCCAAAGUGUUAAUUUUGUACCUGCUGCACAAAGUACAUUUCCUUUACUCGAGACACCUUGUCUCAAAUAUCUGGGAUUACCAGUAUAUCCAUCACUUUUACUCUGACCAGCGACAUUAAAACCUCAGCUGGAAGAAUUAACUCUAGCUUCACUUCUUUCGAAGCUCUGAAUCUUUCUAUAUCCUUGAUAAGACGAAUCAUUAACUUUAUCGUCUUCUUUUAAUUCCCAUUCAUUUCUUAUUCUUCUUUAUUCUCGUUGAUCAUGUUCUCAGAGUCCUCAAGACUCAAUAGCAUCUCGUAUAUUCCUGGUAAGAAGUAUAAUGGAUAGUGGUCACCCAAAAUACCACUUCCCUUUUUGCCACCCAGCUUAAAACAACAUAACACCUCCACCAAAUUAACAACCAUAUCUGGAUGGAACGAGGCAAGUCUGAAAACUUUCUAUAAUAUCCCUCGAUCAUCACCUUCCUUGUCUCAUAUUUGUAAACUCUUGUUUACUACCAUCGAUAAAUGUCGGAGGGAUAAACUUUUCCUUAAACAAGUCCUUAAACAAUUUUAAAUCGGCUGUUCCUCCGGUGACAACACAUCAUACUCCUGUUUCCACCGGAUACAAAUUCAUACCCAAAACCAGGUAGUCGUCUCGACCCCCUGUCAGAAGGAAAUUUCCUUUGACUUGCAUAAUCUGAAACAUCUUUUCCAAAUGGUUAAACCGUUACUUCGCUCUCUCAGGUUCAUCAUUUCAUAAGGUGAUUCAAGUUCAACUCAUUACCCAUCUUAAAAUGUCCCUUUAGACAAUAGACUGAAACACCAUAGUAAUAGUUUCCCCCCUAAACCGCUAAAUCAGGGAGACUAAGUUCCUCUAACUACGUGGCUUGCUACGAGGCGGUGUAGUUCUGACAGAAUUCACUAGAACUUCUCAAGAUGUCCAAGAUUGCAACCAUACUCUGAUACCAACUGACACACCCCGUCCCGAAGGAGGGCAUGCUGGCCGUCACGUGAGAGUGACGUAACCAUUUGCACAGUACGGAAGCUUUAAGAUACAAUUUAUAAGUUGAUACACCCGAAGGUGAGUCCUAAUUUUGUCCAAUCUGUCAGAACACCGUCAAAUUCCUCGUAGUCACCACACCUUUGUGAUUCCUGAACCUGGAGGGGCGCAAAACCAAAAUUGAGUGGGUCAGUAAAACCAUUCUUUUCCAAAUCCAAACAUUUCUCAAAACGUUGUAACCCCUCUCCGUAAAACCCGUAUACUUUCCCAGAAAUGUAAAAUAUAAAUAUACAUAUAUAUUCUCAAGACUUCAAGUCAUUAACUCAACAUUUUCAUCAUAAUUAUGCCAUGCCAAAUCAUCUCAACAUUUCUCAUAUUAAUUAUGCCAUGCCACAUCAUCUCAACAGUAAUAAGGUAUGAAUGCAUCAACAUAAAUCAUAUCAGGUGCAAUAAAGUAAUCAACCGGAGGCCCUCUAUUAGCCCGGUUGAACCUAGAGCUCAAAAUCUAUCACUCUCACACUCUGCCGGAGUCACUCCGCGUGACCUGUUCGGCCUUCUGCACACAAGUUACGCUCUAGUGCUUUCUCAUCAAUCAUCUGUGCACAUAAUCUAAGGUCACCCACCAGUCGGAAUCUCACUAACACUCUCGCGACUGGCCUGUCGUACCCACUCCGCGUGGACUGUACGACUAGCAUCUACUUGGAUCCAAGACGAGCGUGCGAUGCGGUGAAUACUAUAAGCACUAAACCAUGGUGCAGGAUUUGAGCUCAAUAUACAUUAACAUCAUCAUAUCAGUAUUUAAAUACUCACCUGAUACUCACCUGUGCGUCCGCCGCACCAUUCAUUCAUAUGCAUCAUAUCUCAAUUUCAUACUUUUCAUAUCAUUUCAUGCAUGGCAAUUCGAUUCACAUUUCUAUAUACUUUUCAUAUACUUUUAUGCAUGGCAUCUCAAUUCACAUUUCAAUAUACUUUUCAUAUAAUUUUUAUACAUUGCAUUUAAAGCAUACUUUCCUUCAAUUUCAAUUUCUGGGAAAACGUCAAGUAUAUAUAUAUACGGAAAACAAAACUGCCCACUCACCUGGAGUUCGCCCUACAACUCCCUAGCACAAUACGCCAAGGCGUCAUGACGAUCGGCGCCUAAAACAAUAAUCAAUUCCAACCUCAGAAUUCAUAUCGAUAGAAUAUAUAACUUAUAUAAAAUACGUCACUACGUAGUUCAAUCCGGAAGAUCCACCACUCAGAUUUUAAAUCCAUAACUUCCAGAGGUCCACAAUAUAUCUCUAGGAUAACAUCCUAAAAUUUCAUUACCAUCCAACGGUCGGAUCAUCAAUUCACAUUUUCACCUAAUGCGAAAACUAUAAAACGUUAUUCGAACACCUAACCAACAAUCCUUAAUAACUUUCUCAUACGGUGCUCAACUUGGGUAUAUGAAUAUACCACAGUGAUCUACUCGACGUCACGGACGUCGACAUAUUUUUAAAAUAAUUUUUUACUGUAGCACGCGCCCCCACGCGCCAAGGAAGGCACGGGUCCACGCGCGCCCACGCGCACCUUCUUCCUCGCGGGUUCGCCGGACUGGUUUUUCCGGUGGCCGGAAAACUGGGGAAUUUUCAAAUGCUUCGUUCUCCUUCGUUUCUCAACCAUUUUCUUCGUAUAAUAUAUCAAUUUAAAGCCCUCAACAUGUAGAAUCACAAUAUACUACUUUUAAGCUUCAAAAACAACUAAAUCUCACCGGAAAAAUCCAAGCAAAACCGGCCAAACUUAACCCUCGUGAUCCCGACGUCCAAAUCCUUCCAACGAAGCACUCCGAGCUUCCUUGGGACCUCACUAAGCUCACUAUGAGCUUGGAUUGUCCUAAAAAUCAACCAAUUCAAAGCUCAUGAACAGUACACAUUCACGGCAACUUUAGAAACUAGGGUUUUCGAAGUGAAACUUACCUUAAACUGGUACCUACGUGAUCGUGGAGUCCUCAGGAGUGCAAUGGUGGUUUUAAAUCCGGCGUUGGUAAUAGUUUUAGGUGGUUUUGAUGGUUGCCCGUGUGUUCGAGAGGGUGAGAGAGAGAGAGUGAGGUCUGAGGAAGAGAGAGAGAGUAUGAAGGACAGUAUACGGGAAAUAGGGAGGGAAAUAAGGAAUGGGGAUCCCACGUGGUCCUUUUCCAAUCCCCAACUCUAAACCACAAAAUUUUAACCUAAAAAUCUAAGUUCCAUCCUUAUUAAAUUUCAUUUUAUUUUCAAAACUUAGGAACCUAGAUAAUUAUCAACUUGAGCUUCACAUACUUAGUAUUUCUUAAGGGCAAUU
rnacentral:lncRNA from 1 species